UGGGGAAUUUUGCACAAUGGGGGAAACCCUGAUGCGGCGACGCCGCGUGAUAUAGAAGGCCUUCGGGUUGUAAAAAUCUUUUCUAUGGGAAGAAAAUGACAGUACCAUAGGAAUAAGGACCGGCUAAUUACGUGCCAGCAGCCGCGGUAAUACGUAAGGUCCGAGCGUUGUCCGGAAUCAUUGGGCGUAAAGGGUACGUAGGCGGGUAAGCAAGUUAGAAGUGAAAUCCUAUAGCUCAACUAUAGUAAGCUUUUAAAACUGCUCAUCUUGAGGUAUGGAAGGGAAAGUGGAAUUCCUAGUGUAGCGGUGAAAUGCGCAGAUAUUAGGAGGAAUACCGGUGGCGAAGGCGACUUUCUGGCCAUAACCUGACGCUGAGGUACGAAAGCGUGGGUAGCAAACAGG
rnacentral:rRNA from 1 species